CCUACGGGAGACAGCAGUGGGGAAUAUUGCACAAUGGGCGAAACCCUGAUGCAGCGACGCCGCGUGAGUGAAGAAGUAUUUCGGUAUGUAAAGCUCUAUCAGCAGGGGAGAAAAUGACGGUACCUGACUCAGAAUCCCCGUCUAACUACGGGCCAGCACCCGCGGUAAUACGCCGGGGGCAAGCGUUAUCCGGAUUUACUGGGGGUAAAGGGAGCGUAGACGGCAGAGCAAGUCUGCAGUGAAAGUCCGGGGCCCAACUGCGGGACUGCCUUGGAAACUGCCAGGCUAGAGUGCUGGAGAGGUAAGCGGAAUUCGUAGUGUAGCGGUGAAAUGCGUAGAUAUUAGGAGGAACACCAGUGGCGAAGGCGGCAUACCGGACAGUAACUGACGCUGAGGCACGAAAGCGUGGGGAGCAAACAGGAUUAGAUACCCUAGUAGUC
rnacentral:rRNA from 1 species